rnacentral:misc_RNA from 1 species
GAUGAAGAACGUAGCGAAUUGCGAUAUGUAAUGUGAAUUGCAGAAUUCAGUGAAUCAUCGAAUCUUUGAACGCACAUUGCGCCCCCCAGUAUUCUGGCGGGCAUGCCUGUUCGAGCGUCAUUUCAACCAUCAAGCCCUGCUUGUGUUGGGGUCCUGCGGCUGCCCGCAGGCCCUGAAAACCAGUGGCGGGCUCGCUAGUCACACCGAGCGCAGUAGCACAUCUCGCUCAGGGCGUGCGGCGGGCUCCAGCCGUUAAAGCACCCACCUUUCGCAAGGUUGACCUCGGAUCAGGUAGGAAUACCCGCUGAACUUAAGCAUAUCAAUAAGCGGAGG